AUUGGAUCGUAGAUGAUCUUUGAUUCCAUGGAUUUUUUGCCUCAUGGACACAAAAAUGACAGAGGAAUUGCAAAAAUAUGGGAAGCAAACUUGGUUGGAGAUGCCUGGUGAAGAGUGCACUUCAUGGGCUCAGUUACAUAGGUUUAAAGGAGCCGAACUCCUUACUGUAUUGUUACUAGUAUAUAUACAUUUUUCCUUAAUUCUAAUGUUAAUAAUAUAGGAAACCGAUUACUCGCGGUCAACUCGA